CGCGGGCGCGGGCGCGGGCGCGGCGGGCUGCUCUGUCGGGUGAGCAGAUGGAGAAACCGAGGCCCCGGGAAGGCGGACGUUGGUAGACGUGGACGAGCGAAAGGGUGUCACUUCCCAGUGGUCACAUGGGGGAGACUAAGGCCCAGAGGAGGCCGGACACUGUCAGGCUUAGAGUUUUUUGAAGCAACCCUGUGCUAGGCUCUGAACACACGAGAAAAAGAAGGCCCAGAGAAGGCCAGACAUUGCCAGAUACGAAGUGAACGUACACAGCCUAUAGAAAAAAUCACUCUGAAAAAGAAAAAAGGGACAUUAAAACCUUCAGCCAGGCAAGGGCAUGGUGACUGAAUCGUAGCUCCCAGACCAAGCUCUCUGGGUCCCCGCUACAACAAGGAGUUCUCAAGGCCUCCUGGGGGCGACAAAGACCAUGAUCCGGAAGGUCUCCACCCACCUGGGCACCUGAACGGGCAGAUCGUCCCAGUGGCAGCCAGACACCCUUCGGGCAGCUCCCACGCCCUUCCCCAGUCCUCUCCCCACAGACCCUGGGCUGGCUGUGCGCGCCUACCGCAUCCCCGAGAGCAGAAACAGGAACACAGCGCCCGGCGCCGCCUGCGGUGCUGCCCCCUGCCACUGCUUGCAGGCCUUUCCGCCGAUGGGGCAAGCGUCCAUGAGAGUGUAUAUAACCACGAUGCCUGGCCCACAGUAGCCAGAUGACAACGACGACAAAGAAGACCACAACUGAAGAGCCUGAAGAGUUGAAACACCGCGCAGUCUCUA